rnacentral:pre_miRNA from 1 species
UUUCUACUCCAUCCGUCCCGAAAUACUUGUCAUCAAAAUGGAUAAAAAUAGAUAUAUCUAAAACUAAAAUACGUCUAGAUACAUUUCCUUUUAUCCAUUUUGAUGACAAGUAUUUCCGGACGGAGGGAGUAUUUG